rnacentral:rRNA from 1 species
CAGUAGCCGCGGUAAUACGUAGGUGGCAAGCGUUGUCCGGAAUUAUUGGGCGUAAAGGGCUCGCAGGCGGUUUCUUAAGUCUGGUGUGAAAGCCCCCGGCUCAACCGGGGAGGGUCAUUGGAAACUGGGAAACUUGAGUGCAGAAGAGGAGAGUGGAAUUCCACGUGUAGCGGUGAAAUGCGUAGAGAUGUGGAGGAACACCAGUGGCGAAGGCGACUCUCUGGUCUGUAACUGACGCUGAGGAGCGAAAGCGUGGGGAGCGAACAGGAUUAGAGACCCGAGUAGUCCCUGUCUCUUAUAA